UGAUUAAAUUAGAAUAUAAUUCUUUAUUGUGUAGUUUUACAAAUGCUGCUUUCGGAUGUUUGUUUUUUUACACUGCGUGGAAAGGCCUUGCAAAAAAAUUUAGAUGGAUCAACAUCAGCAAUCUGUUGCCCACACAAACACACGCACACGCACACAUGCUGUGACAGAUGGUCACAGCCAUUAGUGACAUUUAAAACCAAAACUAUACUGCUAAUAUGCUCUUGAAUAUCCAGAGGGAAAAAAGAAAUAAGAAAGGCAAUAGCGACAAAUUAUUGAAAAGUAGAGUAAUAACAUUGAAAACAGCAGCAUUAAAACACUUGUCAAUAGGCCAGGCUGCUAAGCUGUGCUUUAGCAGCCUUACCAUUCAAGCCAGCCAAGCUAUUGAGUAAGAGACUCGCGUUUAACACAGAUUACAGUAAAAAAGAUAACUAAAAACGCACCAAAACACAACGUCCUCUAAUGAGUUCUUUGUCGUUUUUUUGCUGGUAAGCCAUACGACGACCCUGUAUCAAAGACCCUCAUUCAUUUUCAAAGUGCUCCGUUGGCUUUUUCGAUAUAUCUCUGCACCGGGAGUUUUUCACUCUGAGAUAUAGUCAACACAGUGCUUCGUCUUUCGGAAAAUAAACCUUACAGACGUGCUUCUGGGAAGGAUAAGGUUUUAAAGGCAGAACGUUCAUAUCACCUAGUUUAUUGUCUUAAUGGUUUUCGUUGUUUUUUUGGGACACCGUUGAUAGAGAGUAGUGCAGAAGGCCUAUAUCUCAUCUUCCAGACUUUUACAACCCGCCAAACCGAGGUUGCGUCUCCGAUCUUAGAGCCAACGUGAAUAAAGUGCUUCACCUCAUAAUGUCUUUGAAUAGAAAUCUAGCAUUCCAGCCAAAAAUAUAUAUGGAACAAUUUUACAGUGCGCUAACUCAACGCACACAGAGGAUUAAAAAACAAUUAGCGCAAUAAAAAGGAAUAAACAAAGGUUAUAUAACAGUAUACCCAAAAUGCUAACUUUGAAAUAAAUCGUUUAAGGAAGUCAAAUGAAUUAGGUAGUCAAGCAGCACAAGUUCUACUUUGCAAUAAACUCUGCAAAACACUGUCUAGGUGCCUUAAUUAGACUAAACACACCCUGCUGCACGCUCGCACGCACGCACACGCACGCUCGCACGCCACACGCACGCACACACACACGCCCUAAACUCCCGGCCUCCCGGCGGGGGUUCAGCUGAUGUCGUCGACCAGCCGGGCGCCGUUGACGCCGCGGUGGGUGACCCUGCUGGGCCGCACCAGCACGCCGUGGCCGGGCCGGCAGGUGAAGUAGCGGCGCCCGCCCACCGCGCCGUCGUUCUUCCCCCGGGGCGCCCGCAGCUCCAGGCCCAGCCACAGGCCCGCCGCAAAGUCCGCCGCGCCCACGUAGCGCACCAGCGCCGCCUCGUUGGCGCUGGAGAGCAGCACCUGGGAGCCCACCCGGAGGCGGGCCUGCCCGUCGGCGCCGGCGGGGGCGGGGCUGACGCUGCUCCGGCCGGACGUCCCGCCCCCCCUCCCCCCGCCGGCGCUGCUGUUGCUGCUGAGCGUGUUCCACCGCUGGCGGUGGGGGAGGGAGCGGCGCCUGGCGGACGAGAGGCAGGAGAGGGGGGGAGACGAGAGGGUUUAAAAGGGGAGCGGGGGCCGAAUGUGGGAGGGAGGGAGGGAAGGGGGAGGGAGGGAGGGAUGUAGAGAGAUAGAGACUGGCGAGGCUGAGGGGCAUCCCUGGCAGGUGACAGACAUUCAGUGAGGCAGGGGGUUGGAGGGGAUUGAUCCCGGGACGCGCCCCCCCAGCGGUCCCCCUCAUUAUGCGUUGGCUAUUUAACCGAAGCGCCCUGCUGCUGACUCACACUGCCAGGGCUCUUAUCAGGACCAACUCUGGAGCGCCAGUGCAAGAAGGGAUCGGGAUGAAGGGGAGAGAGAGGAUAGCAAGGGGGGCUGUUCAAAAAGGAAGCGCAAGAGACACAGAGAGAGAGACACAGAGAGAGAGACAGAGAGAGAGAGAGACACAGAGAGAGAGACAGAGACACAGAGAGAGAGACAGAGAGAGAGAGAGAGAGAGACACAGAGAGAGAGACAGAGACACAGGG
ensembl:lncRNA